GACGAACGCUGGCGGCGUGCUUAACACAUGCAAGUCGAACGGUGAAGCGCCUUCCUUUUUGGUGGGUGUGGAUGAGUGGCGAACGGGUGAGUAACACGUGAGUAACCUGCCCCCUUCUUCUGGAUAACCGCAUGAAAGUGUGGCUAAUACGUGAUAUUCUGGGUCUGUCGCAUGAUGGGUCUGGGAAAGAUAUUGUUUCGGUGGGGGAUGGGCUCGCGGCCUAUCAGCUUGUUGGUGGGGUGAUGGCCUACCAAGGCGGUGACGGGUAGCCGGCCUGAGAGGGUGGACGGUCACACUGGGACUGAGACACGGCCCAGACUCCUACGGGAGGCAGCAGUGGGGAAUAUUGCACAAUGGGCGCAAGCCUGAUGCAGCGACGCCGCGUGAGGGAUGGAGGCCUUCGGGUUGUGAACCUCUUUCGCCAGUGAAGCAGGCCUGCCUCGUUUGUGGGUGGGUUGACGGUAGCUGGAUAAGAAGCGCCGGCUAACUACGUG
rnacentral:rRNA from 1 species